rnacentral:lncRNA from 12 species
UGUUUGUUUUUUCUUCAAGCCGUUCGAAUUUUGGGCUUUUCCGAGCCCGCUGGUUCAGUCUCUGCUCCGUGCCCAGCUGCAGCAGGCAAAGAACAUUUGCUGCUUCUGGGGAUUCUGUAGAAAUUCAGCUGGGUAAAGUUUUCAGCCGAGGAGAGUGGGGAAAUCGCUGCUUUCCCACCUCGGCUCCUUCGCCCAGCAGAUCCACGCUUCCCUCGGGUGGAACAGAACAAUUCGCAGCAGUUUCCCCCAGCACUUGAGUUUACACUUGGUCACCAUGCGUCCCUAAUUGUCCCACUCUGAUUGCCUCUAAUGAACUCAUUAGGGAGAAGGCAGAGGGGCGGAUUUCACAGGCACAAGAAAAUCCACCUCAACGCCCG